UUCUGGGUGAGUUGCACCAUCAGGGCCAGCUCCGGUGUGAUGCUCUGCAGGGACUGGCGGUGCUGAAGGCGGAGGUUUGUUUGCCUUCCCACAGAUCCUGCACAUUAGGAGCUCCUGACACCCACCGGCAGGUGAUGAAUUAGUGCAGCACAGCUGGAGCUGCUUGAGAGCUGCAGAUGCAAAUCCCAGAGCUGUUCCCACAUGUACCAGAGGUAGUGUGGCCAGUUUUGGGCUUCCCAUAUAAAAGACACAUCACAGUGCUAGAGUGAGGCUGAGAAAAAAUGGUUUUUUGAGGAGGCAAAGUGGCCAUGUCAUUGAUGUCUAUGUUUCCUAAAAGGAGGAUGUGCAGAAGACAGAGCCAGACUGUCCUUGGAGAUGCACAGAGACAGGAUGAGAGGCCACAUGCACAAAUGGCAGCAUGGAAAUUCUCAAUAGGUAAUGAAAAAUGCCCACCCUGAGAAUGGACAAAUGCCAGACCGGGAACCCAGAAUGGCUGUGAGACGUCCAGUGUUGGAGAUGCUCAAAACUCAGCUGGACAUGGCAGCCUGGUAAGAUGGGCCUGCUUGGACUGGAGGCCAUGCUUUUAAUUGCAGCUGGUGUGACCUGUGGGUGACAGUGGGGUGACGCUGUCCAAGUUCCAAGCAGAAGCCCAGUCCAUCCCUGGUAAAUUCUGCCAGCAUACAGCCAACUGCCUGGAAGGCAAUUGCACUGCCUAUGGAUGCGGUGAUACAGCUGAGGUCACCCAAAGUCUGUGUCAGAGAAAGGAACCGAGCCCGGGGCUCUCGCAGCAGGGACCGAACAUCACAGCGUGGGCUGUGGAUGCACUUCAUGGAAAAGGAUUUAAUGGUUGAAAAAGGGCCCGGUGUAAAUCCUGCCCUGUUUCUGCCAGUGCUGAGAUCAGCAGUGUUUCUGGCCCACUGCAGCAAAGCAGUCCCCUGGAGCCUUCCCAGAGGGGGAGAAGAAGCCAUGGGGCACCUGGAGGCUGCUGUCUGUCUGUCUGCAGGAGUGGGGAAAGCAGCAGGACCUCUUGCUUCCAAAAACCUGGCAAAUGUGUCUUUGAGGCUCUGAGAAGUUCUUUCAGAGGGACGAGUAGCUGGGUCAGAGCUCUGUGUCUGUGCCAGUCCAAAGUCUCUGCAGGUGAUCCAAGUGGGAAUGGGAGGCAGACGUCCAAAAUAAAGGGGGAGUGAGCGGUCCCA
rnacentral:lncRNA from 1 species